UACGUAGGGGGCGAGCGUUGUCCGGAGUUACUGGGCGUAAAGCGCACGCAGGCGGUCUGCUAAGUUUGGAGUGACAGUUGGUGGCUUAACUGCCAAAGUGCUUCGAAAACUGACAGACUUGAGGGCUUCAGAGGGACAUGGAACUCCGGGUGGAGUGGUGAAAUGCGUAGAGAUCCGGAAGAACACCAAAGGCGAAGGCAGUGUCCUGGCUGGUACCUGACGCUCGGGGGCGAAAGCGAGGGGAGCGAACGGG
rnacentral:rRNA from 1 species